CCCUUAGAUGUUCUGGGCCGCACGCGCGCUACACUGAUGCAUUCAACGAGUCUAAAACCUGCUCUGAUAGGGGUGGGUAAUCUUUUGAAUGUGCAUCGUGAUUGGGAUAGAUGAUUGCAAUUUUUCAUCUUCAACGAGGAAUUCCUAGUAAACGCAAGUCAUCAGCUUGCAUUGAUUACGUCCCUGCCCUUUGUACACACCGCCCGUCGCACCUACCGAUUGAAUGGUCCGGUGAAAUCUUCGGAUCUGAGAGAUGUUGGAUUAAUUUCUGACGCCUUUUGGAAAAGUUGCUUAAACCUUAUCAUUUAGAGGAAGGUGAAGUCGUAACA
rnacentral:rRNA from 1 species